AACGAACGCUGGCGGCAUGCCUUACACAUACAAGUCGAACGGCAGCACGGGAGCAAUCCUGGUGGCGAGUGGCGAACGGGUGAGUAAUGUAUCGGAACGUGCCUUGUCGUGGGGGAUAACGUAGCGAAAGCUACGCUAAUACCGCAUAUUAUCUCUGGAUGAAAGCGGGGGAUCGAAAGACCUCGCGCGACAAGAGUGGCCGAUAUCAGAUUAGGUUGUUGGUGGGGUAAAAGCCUACCAAGCCGACGAUCUGUAGCUGGUCUGAGAGGACGACCAGCCACACUGGACUGAGACACGGCCCAGACUCCUACGGGAGGCAGCAGUGGGGAAUUUUGGACAAUGGGCGAAAGCCUGAUCCAGCAAUGCCGCGUGCAGGAUGAAGGCCUUCGGGUUGUAAACUGCUUUUGUACAGAACGAAACAGUCUCUCCUAAUACGGGAGGCGAAUGACGGUACUGUAAGAAUAAGCACCGGCUAACUACGUGCCAGCCGCCGCCGUAAUAC
rnacentral:rRNA from 1 species